rnacentral:rRNA from 1 species
AGUCGAGCGAGUCUGCCAUGAAGAUCGGAGUGCUUGCACUCUGUGAAACAAGAUACAGGCUAGCGGCGGACGGGUGAGUAACACGUGGGUAACCUGCCCAAGAGAUCGGGAUAACACCUGGAAACAGAUGCUAAUACCGGAUAACAACAGAUGAUGCCUAUCAACUGUUUUAAAGAUGGUUCUGCUAUCACUCUUGGAUGGACCUGCGGUGCAUUAGCUAGUUGGUAGGGUAACGGCCUACCAAGGCGAUGAUGCAUAGCCGAGUUGAGAGACUGAUCGGCCACAUUGGGACUGAGACACGGCCCAAACUCCUACGGGAGGCAGCAGUAGGGAAUCUUCCACAAUGGACGCAAGUCUGAUGGAGCAACGCCGCGUGAGUGAAGAAGGGUUUCGGCUCGUAAAGCUCUGUUGUUGGUGAAGAAGGACAGGGGUAGUAACUGACCUUUGUUUGACGGUAAUCAAUUAGAAAGUCACGGCUAACUACGUGCCAGCAGCCGCGGUAAUACGUAGGUGGCAAGCGUUGUCCGGAUUUAUUGGGCGUAAAGCGAGUGCAGGCGGCUCGAUAAGUCUGAUGUGAAAGCCUUCGGCUCAACCGGAGAAUUGCAUCAGAAACUGUCGAGCUUGAGUACAGAAGAGGAGAGUGGAACUCCAUGUGUAGCGGUGAAAUGCGUAGAUAUAUGGAAGAACACCGGUGGCGAAGGCGGCUCUCUGGUCUGUUACUGACGCUGAGGCUCGAAAGCAUGGGUAGCGAACAGGAUUAGAUACCCUGGUAGUCCAUGCCGUAAACGAUGAGUGCUAAGUGUUGGGAGGUUUCCGCCUCUCAGUGCUGCAGCUAACGCAUUAAGCACUCCG